CUAGAUUAUGGUCAUGGACCGACAUUAUGUCUGUGUAGGCAGCUAAUAACGUUUUGUUUCUCCAAGCGCUUGUAUGUGUAAGUUAAUGUUAUUCUGUUACUUGCGAUUAAUAUAUCAAGAGGAAUAAUCGAAAAUGAUUUCUGUCAUAAAUAAGUUGUCACCCUGACCCUGUACUAAAUAUUUAGUUUUCUUUGUAGCACUUUAACCUUUUUUGUCUUUGCUGAAUUGCCCAUAAACAAGACCUCUGUAACUUAUGUCUUCAGAUAAAUUAUGAAUUUCAUCGGAUCACAACCCUUCCUUUACACUCCAAAAUUCAUGUCCAAACUGGAUCUGUUCUCUGAUGAUCUGCUAAAAGUGUUUACCAAAAAGGGUGGAGUGUUUAGAAAAAAGAUUCAAGAUGUGAUGGUGCCAGUGUCUCAGACCAAGCAAGAGUGCAUUCUCAAUGAUCUAUGCAUCUACCUGAAUGAAGAUGAAUAUGAUGCAGUAUUUGGAUGAUGACCCUGCAAGAACCGAAGCGGACAUAAAGACGACCUUUUAGGGAUUCUGUGAUGAAGGCAUGAAUUUGCUGAUGCAACAGAAGACCCUGAAGAUAUCUGCAUUGUGCUGGAAGAUGUAGAGGUGCUUUCUGGUUUAGGUAAUGUAGCAUUGGCUACAGCCAUGCUACUUGGACUAAUAUACUCUUUAAAUCUUACUCAUCCAUAGGAGAUCCAUUACACUUUUAAGGUGCUCCAAAAAAUGAUUCUCGAGCUGAACUUGUGUAAAUUGUCUGCCAAAGCACAGGCGCAGAAAACAAAACUCUUCACUUGGGUGUGCUGUGUUUGAGGAUCCCUUUGUGAAUGCUGUUUUAUUUCCUUGAAUGCUCAUGUGUUUUUGUUGUAUCUGA